UACGUAGGGGGCAAGCGUUGUCCGGAUUUAUUGGGCGUAAAGAGCGUGUAGGCGGCCAAGCAGGUCCGCUGUGAAAACUCGAGGCUCAACCUCGAGACGUCGGUUGAAACCGUUUGGCUAGAGUCCGGAAGAGGAGAGUGGAAUUCCCGGUGUAGCGGUGAAAUGCGCAGAUAUCGGGGAAGAACACCCGGUGGCGAAGGCGGGU
rnacentral:rRNA from 1 species